GCGGCUCAAGAUCAGCCUCAUGAAAAUCUUAUAUUCCCUGAGGCCACGUGGAAACGCUCUUUAAUGGAACUUUAUCUGUAGCUGGUCGUGACCAAGAAACCACCGGUUUUGCUUGGUGGGCCGGAAAUGCCCGACUUAUUAAUUUAUCCGGUAAACUACUAGGAGCUAAGGCUUCAGCUCAACAACAGACUGCAAAAGAAUUGACCAAGUAAGGAACUCCAGAGCUGCAACUCGAUCAGAUCACCUCCCGUUGGGAAAAGAAGCUACUUUAAUAACUUGGUAUUCUCAAUCGCCGAAGGUGAGGGCGAGCUCCUUUACUAGUCUUAUUUCCACCGUGGGUUGAAUCCUUAGCUCAACUAGCAUCGAUCUAAGGACAAAGUCUACAUCGGUAUGUAAAGAGUAAGCUUCCUCGAAAUAACAUAACGUAUUAUAGAAGAAUGGUUUCUUCAUGAACAGCAACUGCGACUGGCUGCAGCUUCGUGCACUGCUUCGGUCGAAUUGGAUUGAUUCUCUUAUGAGAUUUCUUUGGAUUAUGCAAAUAGGAGUUCCAGCUCUUAGAUCGGGCAAUACAAUAUGUCUUUGGAACAAAAAUGUGGACUCAUAUGCGGGAUUCCCUAUCUAUGGUCAGCCUUCAGUCCUCAUAGCCUAUAAGAAAAGAAGCCCUUCCAAUACCUGAUGUACCUUUUAUCCAUUCGAGUAAAUGCAAAGACCCGGCUUCUGAUCUAAGAAAGAAGAGUCCAAUCCCGAGCAGAGUUCAUACGUGGAAGAGACGAAAGAAAGAAAAAAAGGGAAGAUCAGUUCUUCUCUUAUGUGAUUUUGGAAGAAAGACAGAUGGUGCCGGUCUGUGCCGAUUCCAUGACGGAUUCAGAAAGAAUAGAUAGACGAGAGAAGAGAAGAAAGCAGGACCCGCGAAGAGAAAGAAGACCGAUUAGCUACACAGAACUAGAAGGAAGGCUGGCGUCCAGAGGCACUACUAAGAAUAGGGACAAGGAAUGAGUCCACUUUUGAAGAUUCUUACCUCUAGGGAUCUAAUAAGCUGGUCUCCUUUGAAAGCCUAAGAAAGCGCCUUUUCCUACUACUACUAGUAGAAUGCCGUGCCGGUUUUCGUCACCUUUAUUUGAGUUUAUGAGGUGAUCUGAUCUCGCCUCUAGGAAGGUCGAAGAGAAGGUUGUUAUCACAGUCCUACGGCCGAAUACAACAAUUAGACUGCUCUGUUAGGAAGUGCUUUCUCCUAGACAGUCCCCGGUCGGUCCUUUCGCCUGGCCACCACCCACAGGGGACAAGGCCUUCUUCUCCAGUCGCGGAUUCGGAUGUAGAUGUGUCUGCUGAAAGCCUAGGUUUACUUUUUUAUAUACCCCAGGAACAUAAUUUCAUCUGGAAUGGCUUAUUAAGGUAAAGGACUUCAACCUCGCAGGGUAUCUAGUCUGAUCAUAAGACUAUCAUCAUGAGCCACUUCAGCACAUUAGGCGGGUGGGCAUAAAAGGAUUUCACGUGCGUAAGGGGAUCCCCCUUUUCGCUAUGUAGGUUCAACUACUUUUUGAUGUGGCCCCCAUCAUUCCUUCCAAAUCUAAGGAUCAUAGGGUUGAGGACCUCUUCAUACGAAUUUUUCUAUUUCCUCUUAAUCUUUCACUGUCUCUUCAAGCCUUUUAGCUGUUCCUGGACUUUUGCUAGGUUUACCCUGGAAGAAAGGUUGUUGGCAAAAGCCUGGCUUAGGUGUGAAAGGUAUUCGGUUGCCACCAGCUCUUAAGCACACCCAUUAGCAUUGACUGCAUGGGAUCGAAAGACUUCCGCUUUAGUGAACGUGUCCAUAACUUUCUCAUGGAUUCAUACACGGGAAGCCCACUCAUUUGGCAUUGUGCGGCUUCCUUAAACUAGCGCACUCAGGUGAGCAACAAGCCGUUGGUUGAACCAAUAGGGGCUCUGGCAGAAGAUAGCACCAGACACCCAAUCCCUGCAGAAGACAUCUUAGUAGGACGAAUCGGCUGUCUUUGACGUAGGCCAAGGCCAUUGCCUCUGAUAAGCCGAAUCCACUGUCUCGGCUAAACCUGUCUAACCUUUAGUCCUUCAGUCUCUCCGAGGUCCGCGCAUCGAAGCCCGCCAACGACGAAUACUCCAACCGCCCGACCAUUCCAUAUAACCCAACUCAUUAAGCCCUUAGCUUAUUAGGGGACUCCCGCGAUAGAGUUAGAACAUUCACUACUAGAAGCAUUCUCCACGUCGGUCCAUCGGUUCACCUGAGAACGAGUUCAGGCGCAUCUUCUUUUAUCCCGGCUACCGAGUGCCAUACCCUUUUUUUUAUUCUAUUAAUAAAAUGCACUAAGCAUGGCAGUGUCCCGGCUGGCCCUUUCGGGGACCACUUGAGGAGCUAUACGGGUUCUAGAGUUAGCAGCUAAAGUUCCUGUAGCUAAGGUUUUUCGAGGUCCAUCGACCUAUUAANUAGGUAGACAUCUUAAAAAGCCGGAUAGGUCCUCUCCGAACCGCUUCUCUCCUCUUGGUUGGAUUGAUUCUUUCUUUCACGUCAGCGACGAAUCUUAGGUCUAUCCUAUGUAUCCUAAACCCUCUAAGCAGAGAAAGAAUCUUCCUCGGGUCUGCAAUCUGCAAUUAACCGACAUCGGGCAACAAACCCAAGGACAACUAGGCGGGUACUAUCCCGCCGGCCAGGUGGGAAUAGUGAAAGAAAGAGAAGGGGAAGUUCACUUCGAAGAAAGAAAGAAAGCUCGCGUGUCCGUUGUUCUCCUAGCUCACAUAUCGAGCUCUUACUACUCUUAUAAUAUAAGGAGAUAUUUCUAACUUUCAUUAAGUAAGGCUUCAAAGCAAAGUCAAAGUACGGGGAGAUGCCCGAACGGUUGUAGGGAGUAGCGCAAAGUUCCUGUUCAUGCCCGAAACAAGGGACUCGUCUUCGACUUCCGAUUCCUAUGUGUUAAGUAGAAACCGUAUGUGUCAAGCAUGAUAGUAAUGAUGCGACUUGAAAGGGGCAUUUGCCCAUAGCUUUGUACCUAUUGUUAGCCUGGCUUCCACUUUUUAACUCUUUUAGGAGAACCGAUAAAAGAGAAAGAGCCCUCGCCAAAGACCGGAGAAAACACCGGAAAACAAGGCAAAAGACCGGGAUUCGGGACCUGACAUGGCCUUUUCCCUCGUAUCUGGCUCUUUACCCUGAGGCUAUUGACCCUUUGUUACGGGUCUUUGUCCCUGGAUAACCGGUAUUCAGCCCUGUACUAAGACUAUUGCCGCUUUUCCCUUGAUAACAGGUAUGGGACUUCAAUAUGCCAGUUACACUGCAGCUAUUGCUGCUCUAUGCUCCGAUCAUGAGGGACGAAUGAAGUAAGGAGCACCGAUCCUUGAGCUAAAAGCUGCUUGUGUUUUCGUCCCGUGAAUUUCUGAGCAUAGACAGAAAUCGGUGAACGGGCCUACCAUAUUGAGUUAAAGAGUUCCUGCUCCCGCCAUUCAUCUUAUGAAUGGGAUCAAGGGAGCGCCUUUGUCUUGUAGCUUUAUUUGCCGUUUCUUAGCCCCGUCCAUUCAUCCGAUGAAUGGAGAAAAGGGGCACCAUUGUUUCUUGUUCCUUAUCCGUUUUCUUUUGUCUUCGUUCUUGGCCCUGGCUCUUUGCCCUGUUAUUGUAUCUGUACCGGUUAUUACCGUUAUCCGGGUUCCCUUGACCUUACCCUAGCUCUAGCCCUUUACCUUUCCUUUACCCUUUUCUCUGUCCCUUGCCCUUUACCAAGGCUAGGAUAGGAUCCCUCCUCGAAGAGAACACUCCGACGGCGCUCUAGCGUGUUGUUGCUGUAGGAGGGCGUGAAUCUACCUACGGGCCAGACGACACCUUCACUCAAAGCAUUCAAGCAAAGAUCUCCUCUCCCGCUCCUCGCUUUUAUUCAAUUAUAAAUAAAGAACCACUUUAAUGGAAGAUUGAUUUGUAAAUGAGAAAGAAAAUAGGACUAAACUGAGAGUAAGUAGAAGAAAGAAAGAUAUUUGAAUAGAGGAACAUUAACCUAACCCUCCUAAAACUAGGAUUUGUUGAAAGUAAGGACUCGUACUUCCAAGCGUCUCCAAACUUUGGUAGAUUGUGGUUAACCAAUCCAGAUUAAAUGGGUCGGCUUCAACCAAUCGAUCUAACAAAUCUAUAGAUUGAGUUCCGCGAGGAAGUCGUAUUCCCUCCUGCUGAAAUAACGGCUUUAAUACUUGAGUAUCUAGCUGCUCUUUGAAAGUAUCAGAAAUACUUUCGUUCACUUUCUCUUGAUAGUUGUCUAGAGUUAGCGUGGGGCCUCUCAAGCGAGAGACCCUCCACAUUGCUAGCAAGGAAAUAAAAGGAGGAAGUAGGAACAGAUAUGGUGAUAAGAUGUUGAUUGCAUAGGUAACUACAAGAUCGGGUAGCAUUUAAUGUUUAAUGUAAGGUUCUUAUUAUUCUUCUCUUCUUAUUAUUCUAUAUAUUAUAAUAAACAGAACCCGAACCCAAUCUUUAAUGCAGAUUUAUAGCAUCAUUCAAGUAAAUACAGAUUAAGAUCGUAAAAACAUAAGCUUGUAAUAUAGCUACGCCUAAUUCAAGACCAGUUAAUGCAAGAACUAUAAAGAAAGGACCUGUAGACCCUAUGAAAUAAAAAAGAUCAUUCAUACAUAGCAUAGUCCAAGCGAACCCACUUAAAAUCUUUACUAAACUAUGACCGGCCAUCAUAUUAGCAAAUAAACGUAUUCCUAAGCUUAAUGCGCGAAAACAAUGAGGGAUUAGCUCAAGGAGUACUAAAAAAGGGGCUAAGGGAAGUGGGACUCCUGCGGGUAAUGAGAAGCUUAAAAAAUGAAGACCAUUCUUUGCAAAUCCCACUAUAGUAAUGCCAAUAAAAAGAGAAAAUGAGAGACCCAAAGUAACGAGAAAAUGACUUGUUACUGUGAAGCUAUAAGGUAUCAUACCCUGCAGAUUACGAAAUAACGAAAAAGUAAAAGUAACCGAGAUGCAAGGGAAAUACUUUUGUUUCACAUUGCCAGAAAGACCACCUAUUUGUUCGUUUACCAGGUUCGGCACAAAAUCAUAAAUAAGCUCUAACACGGAUUGACAAGCAUUUCCUACUAACUUUCCUCCUCCCUUUUGAGUCACUAAAUGAAAAAGAAAUAGGACAAAUGAGAGAAUUAAUAGAAGAAAGAAAGAUGCAUUUGUGAAUGAGAAAUACAACUUUCCAAUUUGAAGAGGAUAAAAGGGUACAAUGGCAAAUUGAUCAAGGGGGCUCCUUCCCCCCCCUAAUAUCUGUGUUAUAUAGACAGAUAGAGGACCACGUCUUCUGAGAUCUUGUGCAACUUGAUUCAGAAAUUCGAUUUCCCGCUCAUCUCUUUCGAUGGGGCGAUCGUCGGCCUGGUUCUUGUCUAGAGCCUCACGUUCUUCGUCAACGAAGUCUUUAAAGGCUUCUUGGGGGGGAAUUUCGGCGGCGUUUUCCGCCAAGCCAGGAUUACUUUCAACUAUUUGUUUAAAGAGGGUCGAACAUUCUGUUCUUAUUUCUCGAAUAAUUAAAUCUUUAUUCUCAAACUUUAUCCUUCUGUCAUACUCUUCUUGGUUUUGGUUUGUUGCCUCAUUUAGAGUUCUUUGUAAUUGAUUCCAAUACUCUCCUCUAGGUUUAUUGAGUAGAAAGAUUGAAUCCUUAUUUUCCAAAAUUCGAAUCCGAUUUCGCAUGGAUGAUUCGAGCCCGAGAUCCCGAGUAAUAAUGGGCCAAGGCUCUGCCAGUACCCGUAGAUCGAAUGAAUCUUCUGAUGAGGCGUGUGAUGGGCUGGAGGAAACCCCACUAGAAGCAUAUAAUAUUAUACAACCACCGAGACUGAGACUGACCCAAAACAUAAUGUAGAUCCUUAGAUGAAAAAAAAACAGGCCAAACACAAAAAAGCAAAACAUAUCAACCAAAAAAACGAGAAAGCUCGAUUUCUUAUGAAAAUGAAAAUGAAACCAAAGCCGAAAUAGAAAUAGAAAGCUUAAAAAAAGGAUUCCUAAUAUUAUGACUUCUACUUCACUUGUCCCCAUUAUAGGGGCUUUCUGCCUUGUUAUCAAAAAGGCAGUAGCGGUACCUAGCAACCUAAAUAUUAUAGGUGCCAUUUUAGAAAUCAUCACUUUCAUUCUCUUUGCUUCAUUCUUUGACUGCUCUGCUCCCCCAAUGAAGGAAGACUUGUAUUUUAGUCAAUUGCCUUGGUUUUUUCCAAGAAAGGCAUGGUAGUUGUUGGGCGUUAAGACAUCUCUGAGAAGACAUCUCUAUAUACGAGAUUUUCAAUAAGGUUUUUUGUUAUUCAAUAUCAUCGUAGAGUGAUGAUCGAGAUCACCUAAAGGGGAACACCUGCUACGGCACUAAUAAGAGCAAGACCUCGCCUAUCUUUUUAAGCUUCUUCCAUCAUACUUUCCUUCCCUUGCUUUCCUUCAUGGCCUACAAGAGGAGUCCGUUGAGGAUGAAAUCUGGACUUUACUUGAAAAGAAAGCGCUGGACUUAAGACUGGACUUCAUAUCUUGUCUUGCCAGCUCUGAAGCAGGGGGGUAAAGAGAAGUUCAGUCAGACGGCUCUAGCUAUGGCUACCCGAAGCGAAUGGCUGGCCUAUGCCGAAUACACACUAAAUGGUGAAAAGAAAGCCCCUACCACCCCGAAAUAAAAUAGAAGUUUCUAUUUUCCCAGCGCUACUAGGUGGCCGAUAAGAGACCCCUUUAAAACAAAAGAGAAGGGAGCCAAACAACUGGGGUUAUUACUUAACCCUACCAUAUGCCAUUGCCCCUCAUCAACCGAGCCCCAGCAAGCACCCAAGACAAGACAACUGGUAUUGGAAACCUAUCUUUUCUUUCUUGUGCUCUAUCAAUCGAAGAUGAAAGACGAGGAGAAAGCAUACAGGAAGCUUGCCCUCUUGGUAUAGAAACCCCCAAAAGACAGCUAAGAAAAGGGUCCUUGGCCCCUAAACCCUAAACCUUAUCUCAAUCAGGAGGCACCUCUUUCUCGCCUUUUGAAUGGCUACGACCCCCCCGGUAGUUGAAGAUUUGAUCAUCGAAAAAUCAAGCACUUCUUUUCACUUCGGGAAAAGAUUUGAUCAAACAAUUCUUUUAGCCGCCCCCGCCAAUCGAUCUUUUGACCUAGGGAGCCAAGCCUCUAUCCGGCCUAUCAAACAAAGGGUCCACACAAGUCUUUCGGGGGUUCCAUCUUUCUAUAAGAUAGCAGGUCAACUCAACAAAACUAGGCUGCUUCUUUGUUGUGCCGUCCGGUCGAUCUUAAGUCUUUCUUAAACAAACAAUCAAUGGGGGAGGAAAAGAACUGAAACAGGCUGCUUAUUAUUCUAGCUGAUCUGAGAUCUACGCAUUAUCACUCUUUGGAAAUUGGAAAUAACCUAGGAGUAUAUAUUACAAGAUUAUUCACUGCAAGCAUUGCUAUUCAUUCCUGGCUCUGGGCCAUCCUUGGGCAUUAUCCGUUGAGUGCUCUUCAAACCUGAGAUUUCAACCGAAAAAGCUCCUUAACAGGGUUCGAUAUCGCCUAAAUGAAAAAGGAAGCAGCCCUUUCUAUAUGUGCAGGCUCGCGAGAAAGUCUUUGGUCAUUAACGACCUCCUCCCCGCCCGCAAACGUUGGCCGAAAGGCUCUUAUCUUCCAUGGAUCACUAAUCCACCACUAUCCAUCCGAACUUUGACAAUAGGAGCGAAGCCUUCCCUCUCCGCCAGUACUUUCCUCUCGGGGGAACCGAUCUGAUCCGUCUCAAAAUAGAUCUCCUGGUGGUGGCGAGCGAUGAACCAGGAACGAAGUCCAAUCCAUCUUCUGAACCAACGAGUGAAUCGGUACAUAAUGUAAUCGAUUCAUCGGCGAAGAAAAGCCCAACUCCUCGAUCAAAGCUAUCCCCCUGCUGGUCCCGUUCCCAAUAGGAUCUAAUCAGCUGACGAAAACUCAUAUCUAUCUCUCUCGUCUGAUCCUGGCGCUUCGAUUUCUGCAAGCUCACCUAUUCCUUUCUCCGUUGUUCCCAUGCCCCCCAACUGUGACUCGUGGUGGCUAUGAGAUGGCUUGCUACUGAGCUUCUUGUCUUCCAUCUUUCUUUAUUUUUAUUGUGGGGUCCGCGCAACAAGAGCGCCUCCUCUUUUUUCUUUUUUUUUUUAAUUCGAAAGAGCGGGGUCUUACUUAUUCAGGGGGGAUGGAGAAAGAUUCGCAAUUGGACUAUUAUAUAUAUUAUAAAUAUAUAAAGGAUCUCCGCUCGAGUAGGUGCUUUGCUUUAGCCCAGCUCUAAUCGAUUGAAACUCUCUCUGUCUCUUUGCCCAGCUGAAUAAGUAUAAAAGACUCACUCGCUCACAUCGUUGGACUUGAGCACUAACCCCUAUUCUAUUUAUUCCCGACAGCCCGCUUUCUCAGUUCUGGUGAUUCCCCCAUUGGAAGGUUCUUUGGAGACUUUCUUCCUACAUUCACAAAUCCUUCUUUCCUUGGGCUUUCUGUUCUGCUUUAGUGUUUUUCUUCUGGUUGCUUUGCUCCCUCCUGAAAGCAGAGUAAAGGUCAGUUGAAUGCGGGGACUGGGGAAACCGAGUAAUCCAAAGGUAAAUCCCUUUCAGCUUGUCUUUCUUUUCUUGUUGUUUCUUCCCCAGCAGCAGGUUCUCGAGCAGCCAAGGCAAGAAUGCCACGAAUGGUGUUUAGCAACCUGGAGCAAAUGUUUUCCCUAUCUCUAACUCUAACUCUAAAAGGGUUCGACUCAAUAUUCUUGAAGGAAUCCUUUAGCUACUAAUCUAGCUUUCUAUCUCUCUACCGAGCCAUCUGCUUUAUGCUUGAUCUUGUAAAUCCACUUGCAGCCAAUCGCCUCUAAGCGGAAUAGAAAGAUGAUUUAAAGUCCCAGAGGUCGGGUCAAGGACGGGAUCUAGUUGCAUCUUAUAUAGUGAUCAAAGUGGCCUCGUAUAUUUUCAUUCAUAAAGGGGCGUCUCCGUUUCCGAUCUUCCAUCUCCCUUAGUGGAUCAAAUCCCCACCUCAACUUAUUCCCUUUACCAUAAAGGGGAUAUUUAGUCAUUCCUCGGCAAAGGCUAACCAAUAAAGACUUUUCUGAGUUCCUGGGUAAAGCGAAUAGACUCUCUUUUUUUCUCCGAAAGUUUUCUUUUCUCUAUCAAUUGGACUUUCCGCCUCUGCGGCUAACUUCACUCAAGGAGUGUACUUAAUGGAUUCUUCCUAAAAUCUCUUCUUCUCAUCAAUGCGAAAAUCCGGGGUUUAUGCCCCCACUUCUGGCAACUACUCUCGGUCUAAGUUAUCGCCCCAGUACCAGUACUCAUUCAUCUUUCCCCGACAUGAACUAUUGGACAAGCGUAGGUCCCAGGUACCACUAAGGCCAAGUCACUAAGCAGCAGAAAUCAGCGAUAAAAAACCGACUUCCGCAACUACAUCUCAAGCGGCAUUAAAGCUUAAACCAAUGAGUAGGAAAUCACCUAGUAAAGCCUGAACUCUCGCCGUAACCGGUCUAACCGAUCCGCCCAGUAGCUUCCCCUGGAGUCCCAGGUUUUAUGAUACGAGUUGAACGAACGCACUAAAGGACCCGGAGUGGUUGAUGAGAUUGGUUUUACGACUGGUUUUCCCGUUCUGCUGAAGAAUCUCAAUCUUUUCGGAAAAAAAAAACGAGAGUUUUAGAGGUCUUACAUGGUGUCUAUCGUGAGGUGUCCCAAAGCCUCGUUAUAACUAGUUUAGCCUCUGAGACAGGAUCGUAGUUAAGGCCUGCUUCAGAAAGACGUAAAGGAGCAAUAGAGCGAACGGGAAGAAGCGCCCCCACCUCAUGCGCAUGGAUUUACCAUUAUUAUAUAUAAAUAGAAUGCGAUAUACAUAUAUAAUAUGUGAUUGUCACAGGCAGCGUGAAAGCAUGAAAGAAGAGUUUCCACUGGUUCUGGUCUUGAAACAGGAGAUUUCAGCGGGUCAAAGCUCAGUGUCCACCGUACUAAGGUAGGUGAAGAGGUGAAGUUUACCGGGAAAUGAAGCUUCUAAAUAGACCAUGCUCUUCCACCCGUUAAUUAUCUUAGGUAAUGAUGAAAUACCUCUUCUUGAUUGAUCGAGGGGAAGCUGCAGAAAGGUUCAAUCGAUUGGUAGGCAGAGAAGCGAAGUGGUAGGAAGCUCCGAUACAGGGAAGAUUGAACUCCACGGAUUCGGAAUCGAUGUAUUCAUGGAUUUUAGACUCAACCAGGAAUGGUAGAGGCAUCUACUCCAUGAUCACAAGAAACGAAGAGAAAAAGACAAGUCAGUACACAGGGGGAAUCGAAAACUGCGCAGUUUAAUGUCCAAAACGGACCAUUUGCGCCCUUUUUUGAUGCUGUUCAAGGAGACGUAGACCCUCAACCGAAGGUUUCAGGGAGAAGUGAAAACUAGAAGAAUUGAAUGAAUGAUUUUCCGACGAUGGUCUAUUCCUUAUCAACCAUAGCUCGAACCAACCAUUGACUUUAUAUAUGUCAUUUACUUGUGUAGGAGUCGCUGAUCAAUGGAGUCGGGAGGAAAGCAGGAGAUUCAAACUUCUAUUAAGUUGCCCGAAGCGUUAGAAUAUCAGUUUCCCUUUUAGAUUAGUAUUUAGUAGUUCUAACUUAGUGCUACAGCCCUUACUUAGAAUGAGAAGCAGCAAGCAACUAAUCAUAUAGCCUUCGUGUCUUCCCCUCUGGGACUCUUCUAUUUAUUAUUUCUUAAUUAAGGCCCGAGUAAGACUACAUUCAAUUACUAAUUAUGCAGAUGCCUAUUUCGAACUCUUAGCCGGUAGGAAAGUCAAGUAAGAAAGAAAUCCCUGCAGCCAUAUCUUAAGUCAAGGAAGAGCGGACUUUAAGCUCUUUUUGUAGUCCUUAUCUUUACAACUUCGUCUAAAGGUGCUAACUGUGAUCUCAUUUUCGUUUCAAACCUACUUUGUGAUGGCAUCAGGAAGAUUACAUGAUGAGAAGAUUCGGCCGGCCUAUUUCGGUCAAUAGAACAACAUCUAGCUAAUAGAGCUCAUCCAAUCUCUUCCCCUGGGAAUUUCCUAAAGAAUCAGACUAAAGAAAAGCCAUAAAAGGUAAUCUUCUCCUAAGGAUCUUCCCGUCUCUUGUUCUUCUAUUCUUUCGUGUGAUGAAUGAAACUAAUGAAGUAGGCUCGUGGAAAACAAAAUCUCAUUAGAUUGAGUUACGCGUCCUUCCUGAUAGAGAGAAGAGAAGUAAUUCGAUUUAGUGAAUUCCCGUCAGGUGAAAUAGGACUGAAGUCAGACUGUAAGGCAGAAGCACUAGCCUCAAACCUAUUCGCUCCUAUCCAACAACGUAUUAUUUUAUUUCUUAUGGACCGCCUAGAAGCACUGAUAAGAAUAGCUCUGGCCUGGAGAUCGUUCGCUCCUUAGUAAGGGUAGGUUAACUACUAGUCCUCAGUUAUAACUGGCAGUCCUAUUAUUUUAUUCCUGUUAGCUCUCUUUUCCCGGGAGAAGGUAUCCUUAUCCCCUAGGUGGCAGAGCAGCCUUUAGAGUCGAGUCUUCAAGAACCAUUAGCGUAGUUUCAAUAAUCUCUUGUUGAAGAAGCUGGUAGAGAGUGAUGCCUUCUAGUCAAGACAUAAGUGAAAUGGGAAGGGUUUAUGAAAGGCAUUUUUUUAGUAAUAAAUAAAGCAUAGGAUCCAAGACUGAUCCGAGAAUUUGAGAGAUCGAAGAAUAGCCUUUUUAGCAUUCCUAGUUAAAGAGAAAGGUAGUCAAAGUAAAAGAAAAAGGGUUUGACCAUUUCAGGUCGUAGAUAUCAGGUCACCUAACAGUGUCUUAGAUUUUUUGCCUUUACCUUUCGGGUCUCACUAAUCCCAGUUGGAAAAAAGCAAUAGGAAUCCGCGCCAUUGGUACCAUUCCUGCUUCUCUUGUUCCGGAAAAGAGGUUUUUCACAAAGAUUGAUUGGAAGACCCGAAUUCCCCAAUCGUUGUUUGAACUAGCUAUGCGCUAAAGAAGCCCUCCCUAACCUAUAGCAAGAGUAGUGCUACUAAGCGAAGGCGAUUUGUGAAGAGCCCUUUGAAUAAGAUCUCUUUCUAUUACGAAAUUUAGAAGUUCGCUUCUAGGUCGAUUCGUACCGUCUUUCCUAAAGGUCAUGCGGGACUACUAGCCUUCUUUACUCUCUUUAUAUCCCUUCUUAUUAACUUAUUAAGAAAGCAUAAAGUGAAGAAAGAGUCUAUUUUCCAGUCCUUAUUUGAUUUUGAAUAUCUAUCAUUCUUGAGACUGCCUAUUCCUUAUAUCUAAAAAAUCAGAAUUGGUAAUCCUUAAAUACUUAUGAAAACGGUUAGUAUGCUUAAAUGACUUCCUGAGCGGAUUGGCUAUGCGGGUGCCCCUCGAUACAAAGGAAUUGACCCCGGUAAGGUAAUAGGACAAUUUAUCAAUCUCCUACAAAGACGAUCGGGAAUGGGGAUAGACUGAUUAACCUACCCUUGGAGAGCUGCGAAUCCUUAGAUUGCUACUAACUAGACUAACAGAUAGAAUGAAGAGAGUGCUGGACUUACAUACGUUAGACCUUUAGGAAAUAACGUAUGUAAUAUGCCUACAGGCCGAAUCGAAUCUAGAAUGAAAAGAAGCGGGUGUACCGAUCCCAGAAAGCAAGAAGUAAGCUUUGGCGUAAAGGUUGAAGCUCAUAGGCAGUAACCUAAGUUCUAAGAAGCUCCAAUCAUGCUGCUAUGCUUAACAUAUGCAAAUCAAACGAUCGGAAACAAUUUGCAAUUUCGUAAGUAAGUCAGUGAACUUUUUCCCAUGCUUUCCGUUGUUGACCAACCACAACUCUAAAAAACUUCGACACAAGAGAAGAGGACCGGGCGCUUGUAUCUUCGGGAUACGAGUUGGCGGUCUUCUUUAAGAUAACUUAAAUAAGACUCGUUUUAUGGUAUGGAGCAACUCAUUGCUGAUUUCGUUUCUAGGAUGGGUUUGGCUCUGCCUGUGGCUAUUCUUGUAGCCGUUAGGGCUGGCCGAAUGAUCCAUCAAAUGAAUAGUCUUCAUAUAGAACCCCAAAUUACGGAAGUAACGAGGGGUGUUCUUAAAGACAAAAUAGUGGAUCAACUCUCAAUUCUUUUGAGAGUCUAUAAAGAUACAACUGAGGGUGUAAGCUUACCAACAGGAGUAAAUCUCCAAGAGGUAGCCGAACAUCUUUUGUUUGUAGACCAAAGAGUGAACCUUCUACACAAUAUUUAUUUCUUUUGAUCUUGUUUCUCAGGGAACACAAAGUGAAUACUUUAUCCAAGUUAUACAAUUACUUGGAGGGUAAUCAGUCUUUUUUUCGCGACAAGAGCGGUUAUGUAGCAUCAACAGGAAAGUGAUUUGGCAGUUGCUUUAGCAGCUCCUUCUCUAAGACCGUCUUCAAUAGCAGCGCUUAUUCCAACAAGACCAGCAAGAGCGGAUGCUCACCUAAGAGCAGAAAUGCCGACAUCUUUCCACGUUCAAGCAGCUAAUCAGUAAACGACUUCUCCGUCACUUCUUCUUAUAACCUUCGUGCCCCAUAGCUGCCAUAGUUAGAUAUGAAAGUUAUCCCUCUUAUCCCCUAUGCCCCUUUGUUUUUGUUAGAGAAUUAGACUUAACGGUAAAUCAGUCAAGACUUCCUUACUAAGCUUUCAGUAAAGUGUAAGGUAGGCUAGGCCUUCCCCAUAAAAGAUCUCUCCUCUUCCGGUGUCAACGCCACUCUCGCGGGGUAUAAGGAGAAAUUUCGUUCUCAUGGCCCAUGUCGAAGGGAAUAGAAUGACAUAGGUCUCUGCCGAUGCUGCUAAGCGCAGGGUUUUCAUUAAAUUCAUAGAUCUUAUUAGCUUCUUCAAUAGAUAAGAGAUCUAUCAUGCUUAUUCGGAAACGUAAGGUUUAAGGAUUUAUCCUCCUUCUGCUCUUGGCUUCGUCCUUUAGUGAUAAAUAUCGCUUUCGACUUGGAGCGGCUCACCCCCCUUGUCACUUAAGGGGAAAGCCCAACCUCUUUGUUUGAAUCGCGAUCUAUGGCAAUUUGACUUUGACUGAAACAGAAGUUGAAAGUCAGGUAAAAAAUCUUCAUCCUGCUAAUCCGGCCAUUUCCGAAGACACCAGCUGUAGUAGCUGUUCUCUUCCCUUCCCCGAAAAUCAAAUUUCUUGAUACCCUGACCGAUCGACAGGAGCGAGGAAAAAACCUUCAUGCCAUUGACUACUUUACUAAGUGAGGGAGAACGGAGAUUGUUGACGAUUUUAAACCUCCCCAGCAGCUUUGUCCUUCUAUCCAUCAAUUGCAGUAAGAGUGGAAGACAAGUCGAGUCUAUUCUGCCCUAUCGUUCUAUGUAGUAUGAAAAUAAGUCCCCAACAAGCAAGGGAUUGAGCGUUAGCGAAAGCCGUUGCUUGUUUGAUGGAAUUUGUUGCUCUUCGCUGCAUUAUACGCCAAUCCGAACUCAAAAAUUCGUCGCCAAGGGAGUCUAUGCCGAACUUCGCUGACUCACAUACUCUACCUUGGUUGGUUCUUCAUCGGAAAAAACAGAGGGUUUGCCGGUUUCACAGAGGAGAUGUGCUGAGUUUCANAGGUCCCAAUCUUUAUUUUUGAUUUCGUUCUCGAAGGAGUUAUGGCGCCCAGCGGGUAUCCACUUUUGAGAAGGCUAAUGAUUUCCCAUUGGCGAUUGCCCCUCGCCCCGGGUAUUGAUCCGCGACGAUAGAGUCUGCAAGCACUGCGGUUGACUACUUGGAUUUCCUUCUUCAGUGUCUCGACCCCCUCCCUACUUACUAAUACAGGGUGCAAACACUUGGCUACUUCGUCUUGGGAAAGACGAUGCAACCUUCUUUGUGAGUCUGAACUCUUCCUUUAAAGAAUGCUUUCGCAGCCGGUUCAGCCCUAUGCGGUUUAGCUCAUGCACCGCUUGCCACUUCCACUUGUUGAGUUAGCUCUCUUCUAUUUACUCCCUCAUUUAUCCUCUAAUCACUAUAGAAUGACCUGACUUCGAAGGUGCCAUGCCAUCCCUAUGCUAUGCUAUGCUCCCCCGGCGCAGGCCUACCACGCUUCGCGCCUGCGGCGUUUUCGCCAGACGGUCUUUGCCAGUAGUGCCAUCCUCCCCGCUGGCUGUAUGGGCGGGUUGUCCCUCGCUGACGUCAUCCUGGAUUUUCUUUUCGUAUGCCGGGGAAAGUACCUCACCUUUAUACAAUACAUGAAUUUGGAUUCCAAUUUCCUCCUCGGGUCUCUAUAAAACAGAAUGAAAAGCCCGGGUGGAAGCACAACACAAAAGUAGAACGGGGGGUAGGCCUUGGUUAAAGUGAAAUAAAAGGCAAGGAAAGGAUGAAAGGGGGCUUUCAAACUCUUGUUUAAGAGCUUAAACAGGGCUCAAUCCGGACUACUUCAUGUAGCCCGGACCAAGAACUCAAUCAGCUCAAGGCACUCGUGACAACGAGGGCUUCCCUCUGUCUUCCUCCUAAUCCUAGGUAGAAGGACCAAAUGCUAGAUUUCACUCUUAGCUUGGCCAAUCUACCUAUACCUAGGACCAGUGUGGAUUCGUCGGUCAGCAUAGAGAUAGGAUACUUCUAGCGAAGCUGUCUCUAUCUCCGGUGUAGUUGACAGGCUUCGGGUAUUUAGAAAAGGGAGAGCAGUCAAGCUAAAGCAUUAUGAUCAGACGGGAAAGAUGUACAACAACUAAAGAGGUAGAACAGUGGUUAGGGCAAAAAAAUGUCCUAAUGUUCUACCUCUACUCUAAAUAGGUUUUUCCUGGUCCUUUCGAACCAGUCUUUCUAAACCUGGAAAAG
rnacentral:lncRNA from 1 species